CCAUAGGUUAAUGAGGCGAACCGGGGGAACUGAAACAUCUAAGUACCCCGAGGAAAAGAAAUCAACCGAGAUUCCCCCAGUAGCGGCGAGCGAACGGGGAGCAGCCCAGAGCCUGAAUCAGUAUGUGUGUUAGUGGAAGCGUCUGGAAAGGCGCGCGAUACAGGGUGACAGCCCCGUACACAAAAAUGCACAUGCUGUGAGCUCGAUGAGUAGGGCGGGACACGUGGUAUCCUGUCUGAAUAUGGGGGGACCAUCCUCCAAGGCUAAAUACUCCUGACUGACCGAUAGUGAACCAGUACCGUGAGGGAAAGGCGAAAAGAACCCCGGCGAGGGGAGUGAAAAAGAACCUGAAACCGUGUACGUACAAGCAGUGGGAGCACGCUUAGGCGUGUGACUGCGUACCUUUUGUAUAAUGGGUCAGCGACUUAUAUUCUGUAGCAAGGUUAACCGAAUAGGGGAGCCGAAGGGAAACCGAGUCUUAACUGGGCGUUAAGUUGCAGGGUAUAGACCCGAAACCCGGUGAUCUAGCCAUGGGCAGGUUGAAGGUUGGGUAACACUAACUGGAGGACCGAACCGACUAAUGUUGAAAAAUUAGCGGAUGACUUGUGGCUGGGGGUGAAAGGCCAAUCAAACCGGGAGAUAGCUGGUUCUCCCCGAAAGCUAUUUAGGUAGCGCCUCGUGAAUUCAUCUCCGGGGGUAGAGCACUGUUUCGGCAAGGGGGUCAUCCCGACUUACCAACCCGAUGCAAACUGCGAAUACCGGAGAAUGUUAUCACGGGAGACACACGGCGGGUGCUAACGUCCGUCGUGAAGAGGGAAACAACCCAGACCGCCAGCUAAGGUCCCAAAGUCAUGGUUAAGUGGGAAACGAUGUGGGAAGGCCCAGACAGCCAGGAUGUUGGCUUAGAAGCAGCCAUCAUUUAAAGAAAGCGUAAUAGCUCACUGGUCGAGUCGGCCUGCGCGGAAGAUGUAACGGGGCUAAACCAUGCACCGAAGCUGCGGCAGCGACGCUGAUGCGUUGUUGGGUAGGGGAGCGUUC
rnacentral:rRNA from 1 species